rnacentral:rRNA from 1 species
AAUCAACGCUGGCGGCGUGCCUAACACGUGCAAGUCGAGCGAGAAAGGGCUUCGGCCCUGAGUAAAGCGGCGCACGGGUGAGUAACACGUGGGUAAUCUGCCCUAGAGUGGGGAAUAACAUCGGGAAACCGAUGCUAAUACCGCAUACGAUCACGAGGUCUUCGGAUUUUGUGAUGAAAGGAGAAAUCCGCUCUUGGAGGAGCCCGCGGCUGAUUAGCUAG